GACGAACGCUGGCGGCGUGCUUAACACAUGCAAGUCGAACGGAAAGGCCCUGCUUUUGUGGGGUGCUCGAGUGGCGAACGGGUGAGUAACACGUGAGUAACCUGCCCUUGACUUUGGGAUAACUUCAGGAAACUGGGGCUAAUACCGGAUAGGAGCUCCUGCUGCAUGGUGGGGGUUGGAAAGUUUCGGCGGUUGGGGAUGGACUCGCGGCUUAUCAGCUUGUUGGUGGGGUAGUGGCUUACCAAGGCUUUGACGGGUAGCCGGCCUGAGAGGGUGACCGGCCACAUUGGGACUGCGAUACGGCCCAGACUCCUACGGUAGGCAGCAGUGGGGAAUAUUGCACAAUGGGCGGAAGCCUGAUGCAGCAACGCCGCGUGCGGGAUGACGGCCUUCGGGUUGUAAACCGCUUUCGCCUGUGACGAAGCGUGAGUGACGGUAAUGGGUAAAGAAGCACCGGCUAACUACGUG
rnacentral:rRNA from 1 species